AAAAAGAAAAAGAAAGAAAAAGAUAAAGAAAAAAAGGAAUGAAGGCAGGGGAUGUCAGGUAUCUAGAGUAAACUGUGCACAGGGUCUGUGAGACCCACAAACUGCACCUGGCACUGCCUGGAUCAGGUAGGCUUCCUGGAGGAGAUGCCACCUAAGUUGCAAGAGAAGGAAGGUAAAAGCUUGCUCCUGAAGGAGGAACAAGGAGUCUGGAUUGGGUGGUGAAUAGAGGAUAUACAUGUAGGGUCAGGAGCUCUGUUGGGCUGAGAGCUUCUCUCCCCACGACCGCCUUACCCUCCAAAGCUCUGGGACUCACAGUUCACGGGUCCUUCAGACCUCAGCCUAGGGCAACCUGGUGAAGAUUACCCUCCCUCCAGGGUCCAGGCCCACCUGGCUGAGGGGGCUGUAAGGCUGAGAAUGUCCCCUAAGGCCCCCCUCCAAUGUUGGGGGGGCCAGUUACCAGGGAGCAGCUGCUGAAGUCCAGGUAAGAGGUGUCAAGAGCAGACCUAGGGUGACUUCCCUCCCCCUGCCUCAUACCUCUCAGAGCCUGGAGAGAGAACUCUGGGCAACCACCCAGUUAGAACUACAUCCUCAUCUCAGAGACCGAGAGACUGAGUCCCAGCCUGGCUUCAGAGCAGGUUAGAGGUCCCCUGGGAGCCAAAGCCCAUGUUUCCACCAUACCAGGGAGGCACUGGAGCAGAGCCAGGAACAAAGGCCAGCAUUGCAUAUUUUGUUGUCCUCAUCCUACAGCUGCCACCUACUGAGGCAGUGGUGGACGGACCAGAGCUAGGGUUGGGCCUCCACAUAAGCUGCUUCUCCUUUGACUCUAAUGUCCAACCAGCAGGACAUUACAACUUCUACUCCCUGGGUGGGCAGGGUGCAAUGCACUGUCCUCUGACAGCGUCCUGUAGCUGUCAGCCCAGGGCAGGCCCACAGAGGAAUAGUUCCUGCCUAAGCGAGGGUAGUGCCACUCCUGGGGUCUCCCCACACUUCCCCUCUGGUUCUCCACACAUUGGUGGUCUCUGUUUCCCACACGGUGGGUCCACCAGGCCCUGCCCAGAAACAAGGGUCUGAGGAUGUUGUAAUAUCCUGGAGCCAAGAGAAGAAAUAGACCAGGUGGUCCUCAAAGUGCUGGGGCAGCCCCCCCACCCCGCCCCUUCACUUCCUCCUUGUCGGUCGUGGUGGGGGGAGUGGAGGCAGAACAGGAAGGCUCAGACCUACUUAACCUCUUUCCAGGUCACUCCAGCACAACCAUCCAGAGGCCAUAGAGAAAAAGGCGCCCAGGAGUAGAUGCAGGACUCAGGCUUCAGAUUGCGGGAAGAGUCGCACCGGCUGAGCGGUCGGGCUAGGCUAGUCCUACAGCGGGCCACGCCCACAGCUCCGCCCCCACACCCUGGUCCCACCAGCCCCGCCCAGGCUUUCCAACUGAGUUUGCUCUAAGGGCGCGGGCUGGGAGCCGCAGCUGGGCCAGCAGGUGAGGCAGCCUGUCUGUUCCCUGUCUGUGUGCGUCCGCCUGCUCCAGCUGCUCAGACCCGAGGGCAGGGGAGGGCGGUCGGCACCUCAGGCACCCUGGCGUAGUCGGCUGCCUGAGGGCUCUCAGGUCCGGCUUUCGACGCUAGUCCCAACCCAGACUUAGAGUCGGCUCCCAGCCAGACCCUGGCCUGCAGGAACCUCCGCGGGGCCCGGUCUGGGCCUCAAUGGAGCUCCACCCGCUGCCGUUGCUGCCCUUCCUGUUACUACUGCUGCUGCCACUGCUGCCGGCUGUGCCCGCGACAGGUGGGUCCUGGCAGUGCCCGCGCAUCCCCUACGCUGCCUCCCGCAACUUUGACGUGAAGUACGUGAUGCCCAGCUACUCUGCCGGCGGUCCGGUACAGGCUGUGACGACCUAUGAUGGCGACGGGGAAGGGAGUGCCGUCUUCGUGGCCACACGCAAUCGCCUGCACGUGCUUGGGCCUGACCUGCAGCCAGUUGAGAGCCUGGCCACGGGCCCUGCUGGGGACCCUGGCUGCCAGACAUGUGCAGCCUGUGGCCCAGGCCCCUACGCUCCGCCGGGAGACACAGAUGCGCAGGUGCUAGUACUGGAGCCGGCGCUGCCAGCACUAAUCAGUUGUGGCUCCAGCCUUCAUGGCCGCUGCUUCUUGCAUGAGCUAGAGCCCCGUGGGACAGUCCUGCACCUGGCGCCACCAGUCUGCCUUUUCUCUGACCACCACAAUCGACCAGAGGACUGCCCCGACUGUGUGGCCAGCCCUCUGGGCACACUUGUGACCAUCGUUGAGCAGGGCCAUGCCUCCUACUUCUAUGUGGCAUCGUCACUGGACUCAGCAGUGGCCACCAGCUUCAGCCCACGCUCAGUCUCCAUCCGGCGACUCAAGGCUGACGCCUCAGGAUUCGCACCAGGCUUUGCUUCACUGUCAGUGCUGCCUGAGCACCUCUCUUCCUACCGGAUCGAAUACGUGUACAGUUUCCGUUCCGGAGCCUUCGUCUAUUUCCUGACAGUGCAGCCUGUCAACGUGGCAGCUGCUCCUGGCGGCUUACACACUCACCUGGCGCGACUCAGCGCUGUAGAGACCGACCUCGGCGACUACCGCGAGCUUGUCCUCGACUGCCGUUUUGCGCCUAAACGCCGGCGUCGCUCGGCGCAUGAGGGCGGCCAACCCUACCCCGUGCUGCGGGCGGCCCACGCUGCUGCAGUGGGAGGCCGACUGGCUACUGAGCUGAGCAUCUCUGAGGGCCAGGAAGUGCUAUUCGGUGUAUUCUCAGCAAGCAGAGACAGCGGCCCGAGUGUGGAUCCUAAUUCUGUCGUCUGCGCCUUUCCCGUCAACCUGCUGAACAGGCUCAUCGAUCUGGGAGUGGAGCACUGUUGUGAGCCUCCCGUCCACCAGGGCCUGCGGCGAGGCCUAGACUUCUUCCAGUUGCCCAGUUUAUGCCCCAACCCGCCUGGCCUGGAGGCCCCCAGCCCCAACACCAGCUGCCGCCACUUCCCUCUGCUGGUCAGCCACAACUUCUUACGUGUGGACCUAUUCAACGGGCUGUUAGGAACAGUGCAGGUCACUGCACUGUAUGUAACAUGCCUCGACAAUGUCACAGUGGCCCACAUGGGCACAGCUGAUGGCCGCAUCCUGCAGGUGGAACUGGCCAGGUCUCCCAACCACUUGCUGUAUGUGUCCAACUUCUCACUGGGCAGCAAUGGGCAGCCUGUGCAUCGGGAUGUCAGUCGACUUGGGGACUACUUGCACUUUGCCUCUGGUGACCAGGUCUUCCAGGUACCUAUCCGGGGCCCUGGCUGCCGCCACUUCCUCACCUGUGGGCAUUGCCUGCGGGCACAACGUUUCAUGGGCUGUGGAUGGUGUGGGAACAUGUGUGCCCAACAGAAGGAGUGUCCUGGAUCCUGGCAACAGGACCAUUGCCCACCCGAGCUUACUGAGUUCUACCCCCACAGUGGACCCCUGAGGGGCAGCACAAGGCUGACCCUGUGUGGCUCCAACUUCUACCUGCACCCUUUUGGUUCGCUGCCUGAGGGCACACAUCAGGUCACCGUGGGUCAAAGUCCCUGCCAACUGAUGCCCAAGGACAGCUCAAACCUCAGCCAAGGGCCCUGGAAGGACUUUAUAGAAAAGCUUGAGUGUGAGCUGAAGCCCUUGGGUACUCAGGGAGCCGGGCCCGCCAACGUCAGCCUCACUGUGACCAACAUGCCUCUGGGCAGGCACUUCCGGGUAGAUGGCACCUCCAUGCUGCGAGGCUUCUCUUUCAUGGAGCCAGUGCUGACAGCAGUACAACCCCUCUUUGGCCCACGGGCAGGGGGUACUUGCCUCACCCUUGAAGGCCAAGGCCUGGAUAUUGGCACCAGUUGGGUUGUGCUGAUCAAUGGAACUGAGUGCCCACUGAAAGGAGUCAGAGAGGGGCAGCUUUUAUGUACUACACCCCCUGGGGCUGCUACUGCCAGUGUUCCCAUUCGCCUGAAGGUGGGGGGCGCCGAGGUCCCUGGCUCCUGGAACUUCCAGUACCUGGAAGAUCCCAUUGUGUUGGGCAUCAGCCCCAACUGUGGCUAUCCUGGUUCCCACAUCACCAUCCGUGGCCAGCAUCUGACUUCAGUGUGGAACCUGGUGCUGUCAUUCCAUGAUGGGCUUAGGGCAGUGGAAAACAGGCAGUGUGAGAAGCAGCUCCCGGAGCAGCAGUGGUGCCGCUUGCCUGAAUAUGUGGUCCGAGGCUCCCAGGGGUGGGUGACAGGGAACCUGAGUGCCUGGGGGGAUGGAACUGCUGGCUUCACCCUGCCUGGCUUUCGAUUCCUGCCCCCACCCCAUCCACCCAGCACGGACCUGGCCCCACUGAAGCCUGAGGAGCAUGCCAUUAAGUUUGAGUAUAUUGGGCUGGGCACUGUGGCUGAUUGUGUGGAUGUGAACGUGACCGUGGGUGGUGAGAGCUGCCAGCAUGAGCUCCGGGGGGAUGUGGUCGUCUGCCCCCUGCCCCCCUCCCUGCAACUUGGCAAGGACGGUGCUCCACUGCAGGUCUGCGUGGAUGGUGGGUGUCACGUCCUAGGCAAGGUAGUGCGGCCAGGUCUGGAAGGGGUCCCACAGAGCACGCUCCUUGGUGUCCUGCUGGCCCUGCUCCUGCUUGUGGCUGUACUGGCCGCCAUACUGGUCCUGAAUUACCGCCAGAGAAAACAGCUAGGUGAGCUCUCCACUCCCAUCCUGACUCAGCCCCUACCCCCAAACAAUGACAUCUCCAAGUCCCCAUAUCCUCUCUAUGCCCAGGCCUCGGGGGUCUGCCCAUACCUCCUGGAUAGGGGUCAGCCUCUAGGAGUUAGGAGUGGUUGGCCACCAGGGGCCAUUUUUCCACAGUGCUUUCCCCCAACCUGGAUGACUUGGCAUCCCUGGACCAGACCACAGGAGCUGUGCCUCUGCCUGUGCUUCGCUCAGGCUCUGACUACAGAAAUGGCCUUGCAGCCCCUGCCAUCGAUGGCCAGGAUUCCACAACUCAGGUGCACAGAGCAUCCUUUGCAGACAGCAGGGAUGGGUCCCAUGUUCCACUGCUCCAGAAAGAGUCCAUCCAGCUCAGGGACCUGAACUCUGCACUCCUGGCGGAUGUCAAGGAUGUGCUGAUUCCCCACGAGCGGGUAGUCACCCACACUGACCGAGUCAUUGGCAAAGGCCAUUUUGGGGUUGUCUACCAUGGAGAAUACAUAGAUGAGGCCCAGAAUCGAAUCCACUGUGCCAUCAAGUCGCUGAGUCGCAUUACGGAAUUGGAGGAGGUGGAGGCCUUCCUGCGAGAGGGGCUACUCAUGCGUGGUCUGCACCACCCAAACGUGCUGGCUCUCAUCGGUAUUGUGUUGCCACCUGAAGGGCUGCCCCGGGUGCUGCUGCCCUACAUGCGCCACGGAGACCUGCUCCAAUUCAUCCGUUCACCCCAGCGUAACCCCACGGUGAAGGACCUCAUCAGCUUCGGCCUGCAGGUGGCCCGUGGCAUGGAGUACCUGGCAGAGCAGAAGUUUGUGCAUCGGGACCUGGCAGCUCGGAACUGCAUGCUGGAUGAAUCAUUCACAGUCAAGGUGGCUGACUUUGGUCUGGCCCGAGACAUCCUGGACAAGGAGUACUACAGUGUCCAACAGCACCACCAUGCUCGCCUUCCCAUCAAAUGGAUGGCACUAGAGAGCCUGCGGACCUACAGAUUCACCACCAAGUCUGAUGUGUGGUCAUUUGGUGUGCUGUUAUGGGAACUGCUGACACGGGGUGCCCCACCAUACCCCCACAUCGACCCUUUUGACCUCACUCACUUCCUGGCCCAGGGUCGCCGCCUGCCCCAGCCUGAGUAUUGCCCCGAUUCUCUCUGGGUGGAAUGAAGUGGGCUUUGGCCAGCCAAGAAUUAUGAGAAGAAAGGACUCAGCCUGCUCCAACAGGGUAUGUAACUAGCCCUUACUGAGCACCUCUGGGUUCCUGGAGGGCACUGGCUUAGUGGUAUGGACAGGAAAAGUGCCCCCUCCCAGGCCUGAGCCACCUGCUAAGCUAUUGGGAGGCGGGAGGUCCACACGUGGGAUAUAGCUUGGGUGGGGGCUUGGGGCUGCAGCACUCAGAAGGGAGGCAUGUUGGCACCCAGUGGUGGCACCAUAGGUCCAGAGCCUGGUAGUCUGGUUUCAGAUUCUGGCUCUACAACUCACUAGCUGUGACUUCUCUCUCCUCUCUGGGCCUUGAUUUCCUCAUUCGUAAAAUAAGGAUGCCAGCACCUAGCCCUUUGAAGUGCUGUGAGGCAGAGUUACAGUACUCAGUACUGCAGGACACAGAGGAAGGGCCCAGCUGAUAGCAGUCACGGUUCUUAUUGCUAUAAGGGGUGUUAGCUUCUCAGGUGGGAAGAGCCUUCUCCACUCUCCAGACUGCCUUCUUUGCUCCUUCCUUCAUGGGCCACACCCUUCUCAGGCCAGCCCCGGGCAAAGAGAAUUAUGCCUCACUUCUGCAGGAGGUAGGAGAUGGCUCAGUGGUCUGCCAGGCAGUGGCUUUCAGGCCCUCCCUCCAUGCCUCCCCAGUCUUCCCAGGUGCAGCCCAGCUCAGGGGCUGCGCAGGCACCAGAGGCUGCUACUAGUAUCUCUUCUGUGAGGAAAAACAAAACAAAAAUCACCAACAGUUUGCUAGGGGCCAGAGAUUAAUAAAGUUAACAGUGUUCAGCAA